rnacentral:rRNA from 1 species
GCAGCAGUGGGGAAUUUUCCGCAAUGGGCGAAAGCCUGACGGAGCAACGCCGCGUGAGGGACGAAGGCCUCUGGGCUGUAAACCUCUUUUCUCAAGGAAGAAGAUAUGACGGUACUUGAGGAAUAAGCCACGGCUAAUUCCGUGCCAGCAGCCGCGGUAAUACGGGAGUGGCAAGCGUUAUCCGGAAUUAUUGGGCGUAAAGCGUCCGCAGGCGGCCUUUCAAGUCUGCUGUUAAAGCGUGGAGCUUAACUCCAUCAUGGCAGUGGAAACUGAUUGGCUUGAGUAUGGUAGGGGCAGAGGGAAUUCCCGGUGUAGCGGUGAAAUGCGUAGAUAUCGGGAAGAACACCAGUGGCGAAGGCGCUCUGCUGGGCCAUUACUGACGCUCAUGGACGAAAGCCAGGGGAGCGAAAGGGAUUAGAUACCCCUGUAGUCCUGGCCGUAAACGAUGAACACUAGGUGUCGGGGGAAUCGACCCCUUCGGUGUCGUAGCUAACGCGUUAAGUGUUCCGCCUUGGGAGUACGCACGCAAGUGUGAAACUCAAAGGAAUUGACGGGGGCCCGCACAAGCGGUGGAGUAUGUGGUUUAAUUCGAAGCAACGCGCAGAACCUUACCUUCCCUUGACAUCCCGGGACAAUCUCAGAGAUGAGACUUUCUCUUCGGAGACUCGGUGACAGAUGCUGCAUGGCUGUCGUCAGCUCGUGUUGUGAAAUGUUCGGUUAAGUCCGGCAACGAGCGCAACCCCUGUCCUUAGUUACCAUCAUUAAGUUGGGGACUCUAGGGAGACUGCCGGUGUUAAACCGGAGGAAGGCGGGGAUGACGUCAAGUCCUCAUGGCCCUUAC